CCGUGUUAGCCAAGAUGGUCUCGAUCUCCUGACCUCGUGAUCCGCCUGCCUCGGCCUCCGGCCUCCCAAAGUGCUGGGAUUACAGGCGUGAGCCACCGCGCCCGGCCCUCACUGUUGUCUUUUAAGUAGUGAAACAGGAAUGUCUCUCUGAUCAGAAAGCACAAUUAAGAUUCUGCAGAAAAGGAAAUCCAGCUCGGUGCCACCAAUCUGUACUAGGAAUGAAGAUUUGGUUACCUGUCCUGCUGACGUCAGACCCAGCACCAGGUGCAGAAGCAACCAUCAUACAAAAAUCAAGCUUCCUUAAUUA
rnacentral:lncRNA from 1 species